UACGAAGGGGCUAGGCGUUGCUCGGAAUUACUGGGCGUAAAGGGCGCGUAGGCGGCUCUGUUAGUCAGGCGUGAAAUUCCUGGGACUCGAACCUGGGACUGCGCUUGAUACGGCGGGGCUUGAGGAUGGAAGAGGCUCGUGGAAUUCCCAGUGUAGAGGUGAAAUUCGUAGAUAUUGGGAAGAACACCGGUGGCGAAGGCGGCGAGCUGGUCCAUUACUGACGCUGAGGCGCGACAGCGGUGGGGAGCAAAC
rnacentral:rRNA from 1 species